UAUCGAAACGGGGCUUCAAUGCCCCGUCUGCAUGGAAUAGGCGCCAUGUACUGAUGAGAUAGCCUUAA
rnacentral:hammerhead_ribozyme from 1 species